AUUGAGCUGUAGGGAAGGGCGCGUGCGUGCGUGUGUGUGCGUGUGUGUGUGUGUGUGAGGAGAAUCAAAGUGAACGGGCUCUUAGCUCUCGGGCUAACAUUAGCUGGCCACCGCCGCUGUCCCGGAUCUGCGCGCGCGGUUCUCCAGCAUCGCUCGUCAUGUGAACGGAUCCGAGAUGUCGCUCGCCCCUUAAAUCACUUUCUGCACCACCGAAAGUGACUGCUGUCCUCAGCCCAUCUGUUUGCCUGCUCUUCACCUUCAGCCUCGGCCUGGUCUGUGAGCAGUCAUGACCAAAUCAUACCAGUUCAACUGGCAGAAACACAUUCCUGACUUCCUGCAGGAAGGA